GCUGGGUGUGGUGGUGCACACCUGUAGUCCCAGCUACUUGGGAGGCUGAGGCUGGAGAAUCACCUGAGCCUGGGGACACUGAGGUUGCAGUGGGCCAUGAUCUUGCCUCUGCCCUCCAGCCUGGGCAACAGAGUGAGACCCUGACUUAA
rfam:Gorilla gorilla gorilla genomic chromosome, chr8, whole genome shotgun sequence